CACCUGCGGGGAGGGGCGGCGAGAGCCGGGCCCUCGCGCGCCUGCUUCCGCCUGUCGUAGGCGGGGAGGGUGGUCCGCUGCGGCUCGUCAUCAGCCGCGGAAUCUGCGUUUCUGUGUGAGUGACGCGGCGCUGUCGGGCUCCACUUCAACAGAACUCAGCGCUACACUCCUCUAACUGCUUUCCUGUUUGAAAAGGAUGUAAGAUAGACAUCCUUCCCACCAAGAAAUGAUCAAUUCAGGGAGGCAUUUCUUGGGGUCACCUUUCUAGGAGGAGGUGACUUGAGAUAGUAGGUGGAAAAACAAAGGCUUUGGCGUCGUGCACACGGGGUUCCAGCCUCUGCUCGCGUCACACACCCGCUCUGUGACACUGAACACAUCAACAAACCUCGGCGUGGUCGCGUCUUUAAGAUGCAGACAACAGUACCUACCCAAUAACGUAUUUUUGAGGAGCUCCCCUGGAGAUCAUAUUCAUCUCUGUCUCGUUUUCUUCCCUCGCUCUCUCCCUUCCUUCCUUUCAUUCUCUCCUUCAUUUUCUUUCUUUCCUCCUUCAUUCCUCAUCUUUCUUCCCUUUUUUUAAAUUGAGGUAUAACUUUCACAUAAUACGCUGCACAGAUCCUAAGAGAACAGCUGGGUGAACUUUUACACAUGUAAUCAGCUCCCAGAUCAAGAUAUAGGAUAUUGAAAAUAUACCUCAUCACCCCAGGUGUCCACCUGCUCCUUCCCAGUUAAUACUUAUCACCCCAGAGGUAACCAGUAUUCUGGCUUCUAUUACUGUGUAUUAAUUUUGCCUGUUCUUAAACUUCAUAUAAUUGCAGCCAAAUAGUGUGCCUUCUCCCAUCUGGUUUCUUUCACCCAACGUAAUAUCUGUAAGAUUCAUCCAUGGUAUAUGCGUACAUCAGUAGUUUGUUUACUACUGGGUAGUAUCCUAUUGUAUGAAAUAUACAACAAUUAAUUUAUCCGUUCCACCAUUGACAGGCAUUUUGGUUUUCAGUUUUCAGUUAUUAGGAAUGAAGGUGCUGUGAGCAUUCAUAUGGUCUUUUGGUGAGUACCUGCACACAAUCUUGGGUUUAUACAGAUGAGUGGACAUUUUAUGUCAUAGGAUAAGUAUAUGUUUAGUUUUAAUAGACACUGCUUAGCAGUUCCCCCCCCCCCCAAAGUUGAAUUGAUAUAUGAAAGUUAGUUACUUCACAUCAUUGCCAACCGUUGGCAUUAACAGUUUUUUGUUUUUGUUUUUUUUUUUGCGGUACGUGGGCCCCUCACUGUUGCGGCCCCUCCCGUUGCGGAGCACAGGCUCCGGACGCGCAGGCUCAGCGGCCAUGGCUCACGGGCCCAGCCGCUCCGCGGCAUGUGGGAUCUUCCCGGACCGGGGCACGAACCCGCGUCCCCUGCAUCGGCAGGCGGACUCUCAACCACUACGCCACCAGGGAAGCCCCGGCAUUAACAGUUUUUAAAACAAUUUCUUGGGAAAUGCGGGACCAUCGUCUCUCGUGAUGCUGGGCAGUGACAGCGAGUGCUGAAUGUGUUUCACUUUUGCAACAUCAUAAAGUGGAAAAAUUGUAAGUCAAACCACUGUAAGUUGGGGACCGUCUGUACUUGCAUCUUUCUGGUACUUGAUGAGCCCACCUCCCCCAGAGAAGCCUCUUGGGGCAAUACAGCCUGCCUCAAACUUUCUGUUCAGUGGCGUCUGGUCACCAAACUGAGUGUAGAAUGGGGUCCAGUCAAUGUUGACAUGGCUUUACAACGUGCCAACAACCACGGACCAUCCCAGGCAGGAACAGGGAACGUGGAGCAGUGCCUGGGGUGGGAGCUGGGGUGGGGUCAGGGCCUUAGAGUGGCAGACUUGGUGGCAGCUUUUAUUCAAGGGCUGACGCAGGCUUCCUAUUCUAUCAUUAAAACACCUGUGCAGCGGUUGAUUGUUUUUGCAGAAAUCUGCAACUAGAGCGUCUCUGCUUAGAUUCUGAUCUUAGAUUCUGAGCCCCUUGAGAGCUCUGAUCUCUCUCUAAGUGCUUUUAAAUUCAGUAUGAAAGAGACUACAGAACGUUUCCUGGGAACAAGUGUUGAAAGCGGGGAGGAGCAUGGAAAGCCGAGGCCCUGGUGGCCUAAGGUAACCCACCCCCUCCUUUGUGGCUCUGUGCCUAGGGCCCACCUGUGUGUAGCGCUGGAGAGAAACCAGCCUGCUCUGCGCAUACGUGCUCCUGGGCACACUUUCUUUCUGGGUUAUGUCUUUAGUAAUUUGUUAUCAAGAAAAAAGACUCCCAACAAAGUCAUGUUGCUUGCACAAUCCUAAAGGUGAUAAAUUACCCAAGAUGCUCAUAGACAAGGGUGGGUCCACCUGAGGUCACGUAAAACCAGGGUGGAUUGACCUAAGGUCAAAAUUGAACAGGACCUGUUGGGAACUGUUGACUUCCCACCACGGCAUGCAGUGUAAGUAUCAUGAAGCAGGAACAAACAGCUUCCUUUUCUUAUUGCAAAAAUAAUACACAAUUGUAAAAAACAAAAAUUGAGAAAAUACAGACAAGCGAAAAUUUAAAAAAUCAUCCAUAAUUGUAUUAUAUUUUAGCUACAUCUUUUAAGUCUUUUUUGCUCCUUCCUUCCCUCUCUGCUUUCCUCCCUUCCUCCCUCCCUCCCUUCCUUCCUCCCUUCCUUCCUUCUUUCCUUCCUUCCUUCCUUCCUUCCUUCCUUCCUUCCUUCCUUCCUCUCUCUUUCCCUCCUUCCUUUAUACCUUUGCAAUGGGAGGCAUUUAACCACUUUCUCUGCUUAGGAAUUUCAUGAACUAGAUAUUUUCAGUGUCUGUGCUCCCCACCGCUCACCUUCAUCCCCUUCCUCUCCUGGGGCAUAUUCUCCUCUCAUCUUUUCAUACCCUAGGACAGUUUAAGAUGGGGUUAUCCUCAUGGGUAGGAUCAGAGACUAAGCCGAGCCUCAGUGUGAAGCUGCACCUUGCCGAUGGCCUAACGCCCCUGGGUGUUAACUCUGCUGCUGCUCGGACUACCGCUCCCUCACACCUCUCUCCAGACGUUGAACAGGUGACCGACCAUACUGGAUGCUCUAAUAUGAUGGUAGCGGUGUUUAGGGGCAGGGCACGGGACAAUCAGCAGAAAGAUUUUUACUUUUCUUAAAUUGAGGUUUAUCACACAAACAAUAAAGUGCCUGAAGACACUCAUCUCAAGUGCACAACUCAAAACAGUUUUACUUUUGUGGACACCUACAUGCUGACAUCCCAGCUCAAGACAGAAAAUAUUUCCAGCACCCUGGAACUUACCCUUAUGUUCCUUCCCAGUCAAUAUCCAUUCUCCCUGCACCCCUGCCUCCCACACAUGAAGGUAAACACCAUUUUCAUUUCUUUUAAUGUGCACUUUUUAUAUCUGGCUCCUUUUGUUCAAAAUGAUGUCCGGGAGGGACUUCCCUGAUGGCGCAGUGGUUAAGAGUCUGCCUGCCAAUGCAGGGGACAUGGGUUCGAGCCCUGGUACAGGAAGAUCCCACAUGCCACGGAGCCACUAAGCCGGUGCAUCACAACUACUGAGCCUGCGCUCUAGAGCCCGUGAGCCACAACUACUGAGCCCGUGUGCCACAACUACUGAAGCCCGCACGCCUAGAGUCCAUGCUCCGCAACAAGAGAAGCCACCGCAAUGAGAAGCCCGUGCACCGGCACAAAGAACAGCCCCCGCUCGCCGCAACUAGAGAAAGCCCGUGCACAGCAACGAAGACCCAACACAGCCAAACAUAAAUAAAUAUUUAAAAUGUGUUAAAAAAAAA